CUGAUGCAGCAACGCCGCGUGCGGGAUGACGGCCUUCGGGUUGUAAACCGCUUUCGCCUGUGACGAAGCGUGAGUGACGGUAAUGGGUAAAGAAGCACCGGCUAACUACGUGCCAGCAGCCGCGGUGAUACGUAGGGUGCGAGCGUUGUCCGGAUUUAUUGGGCGUAAAGGGCUCGUAGGUGGUUGAUCGCGUCGGAAGUGUAAUCUUGGGGCUUAACCCUGAGCGUGCUUUCGAUACGGGUUGACUUGAGGAAGGUAGGGGAGAAUGGAAUUCCUGGUGGAGCGGUGGAAUGCGCAGAUAUCAGGAGGAACACCAGUGGCGAAGGCGGUUCUCUGGGCCUUUCCUGACGCUGAGGAGCGAAAGCGUGGGGAGCGAACAGGCUUAGAUACCCUGGUAGUCCACGCUGUAAACGGUGGGUACUAGGUGUGGGGUCCAUUCCACGGGUUCCGCGCCGUAGCUAACGCUUUAAGUGCCCCGCCUGGGGAGUACGGCCGCAAGGCUAAAACUCAA
rnacentral:rRNA from 1 species